GGAUUGAAUAUGGGAAAACUUUUGUGAGCCAAGAAUGACUGACUCCCAGAGCCUACUGUCUGGAAUGAGAAAAACUGUCUGUGGAAGAUCUGGGAAUGCCACUUGGGACCCGCAAGCCAGACAGCACCCUUCACAGACGCAGUCUGUAAACUGGUCUAACAUACACUGCUCUGCUGACAGGAACCAAUGACGGAUGGG